UCCUUAUCCAGAGAGGUGGAGGGACUGGCCCGACGAAGCCCGGCAACCGGCAGCAAUGCUGCAAAGGUGCCAAUUCCAACAGAAGCUUAAAGCUUCUGACAGAUAAGGA
rnacentral:ncRNA from 1 species